CACCGACGAGCUCUGCAGGAGGCAGCGACUUUACGCUGCAGAUAUUUAAAAGCAGUUUAUGUUGACACGCAAGAGGUGAAAAAAGUCCUUGCUGAAAAUGUUAGAUAAAACUAGCAAAUACCUUUCGCAGAAGGUAAAACAGGGCUUGUGGUCUGUCGGUGGCUUCUAAGGAGGGGGAGGCAGCAAGGAUACAAGCUUUGGAACAGAAUAAGCAAAAUGAACCCGUCAAGUUGGAGAGUUUCUCUUCAGUAAUGUUGCUUUGGAGUAGAGAGAACAGAAAAUAAUGUACUGAAAAGGGAGCUGGAGACGGAGGGAUCAAAAUAUGACAAAAAAAGUAGUUCUGAAGUGAGAUCCCAAUGCUAAGGGAAAAAGUUAAAGUAUUGCAAAUACUUUGUUACCUGUCAGGUUUUUUGCUACACACCUAGAUAGUCAUUGGACAGUUCCGAAAUUAGAAGAGUGCCUUCCUCCCAUCCAUGAAAUCUGACAGAUGCAAUUUUUUAAUAACACGGGCUUCAGAAAGUCAGGAUACAGGGAUGCAGAAUUAAAUGCCUCUCUCUGAAUUAAUUUUAAGACUGAAGAUUGUAUUUUCACAACCGUGUUCAAUUUUUAUUUUUUUUUUUUUAUUAAUACUUCUCACUGUGGGUGAGAAGCCAAAUUUUGUUACCUGGCCUCCAUCACAGAGUAAGAUUACUGAAGAUGAUUACUGCACAGGAAGGGGCAAUAUGCAGUCAUGAAUAGCUAGUGUUAUACCUAGGGAUGUAUUUGGCUUCUCUGUGUUAUUUAAAAACGUUCUCUCUUGCAUGAGUGUUCAGUGACGUUGCUCUUCCCAAAGCAAACCUUUAUGGAAGAAGAGGAAAUCACACUAAGUGAUUAGUACAAAAACUAGCUAAAUUUUGUUAGCUGUAGGGUAUUGUUAAGUAUGAGCUGGUUUUAUUUAAACUCAGCUAAUUUUAUUUAAAAUAACUUCUGUUCACUUACUCUAAAGCCGUAUCCCCAGACUCAUUAGGAAGAGUUUAAUGCUGUAGCAAUCCAUUUUAAAUGAGUUUUUUCUCCAUAUGUAUUUGUGAUAUAAAUUGAUUGUUAAAGCAAAUGGAUUAUACUACAAUCUGAGUAAAUCAUGUAACCAGAUUAUAGAGGGAUAGUAAUACACAAGGAUGUUGAUCGUUCUUUGUUGCAGUACCGUUAUUUACACCAGGAUUUGAUGAAGAACAUUUAGUUAUGUGCAAGUUUCAACACAGAUGUGUGUGAAACAGCGUAUAGAAAAAUUAGUAUGACAUCAUUGUUUAUUUUUGGAUUCUUGGUGGAAUUGUAUUUUCUUUGGGAAGACAAAUGAAUUUUCUUGUACUGCAUCUUGAAUUUUUUGAAUCUUUUUGGUCCAUAGUUAGGUUAAGAGCCUCUUUUUGUAUGCCAAAGAAUGACAGUAAGUUUGUUGGUUACGUUUUAGACAAAAGUUUGGAUUUCACUGUUUUUUCACAAACCUCCUGACAUCUAAAGAAUGUAUCAGUGCAUAAAUUAUAUUGAUAUUUUUAUCAGUUAUUUAUCCAAAUAUUUUUUUCUACAUUUCAGAUUUGACACCUGUCUCAGAAUAUUUCUUUUAUCCUCUCUGCUUGUUGUCAUUGGGCAGAAAGUAGGUAUUUUGAGAAUGGUAUUCAGAAGACAUUUCUGGUUACUUUCACAUCAGUUCUCUUGUGGAAGGGCAGAUGGCAGUAUGAACCACUUCUCACAGAUUUCAGUGGACAUGUGUUUUUUUCUUCCCUUUUGUGUGAAUGGUCAUGCAUAUUUCAUCUACAUUUAAUGGAAUGAAUCGUUUUGUGAAGAGGGGGCUGGGUGCUGGGAGCUUUGCCUCUGUGUACUUAGCUUUCUCCUGUUUUAUCAGACGAGGAAAUGCUAGAGGUCUUUCAGUACCAAAACGAUCUCGAGUGGUCUUGAAUUUUUCCCUAGGGAUGAUUUUUUUUUUUUUUUUUGUUAGUAUUAAGUUGCAGUUGCAUACUCUGUGGCAGGGGCAGUAGUUGACUGGAACUUUGAAUGGACAAGAUGCAUCUUGGAUGCAAUUCCUUUGUCUGUGGUGUCUGAAACCAUGAUCAAAGGUCUUUGAAGCAGCUAUCACAUCAACAGUGUCAUCUGUUUUAAAGAGAAACCAUACAAAGAUGCAGUGGCACUUGGAUAGCAAAGAUACAAAAUAGGUUGCUGGUAAGGUUAUAUCUUGGUAGAACAACUGCUUGUGGGACAGACAUACUAAAAGUACACUUUUUAAUUUACCCAUGCUGAACAGAUCAGUCCCUCAAAGAAAAACUAUAGAUACGCGGUAUCUUUUUUUCAAGAUGUUAAAACUGCCACAAGACAGCUCAGAAUGACAGUCUGUUUUGUUUCUGAAGUGAUGUUUACCAUCUUACAUCCUGAACUGAGUCAAGCCCUUUGCUUUCUGUUGGAUAACUUUUUCUUCUCUUUUGCUCCCAGAUUACAUAUUUUGCUUGUUUCUUAGCUACGUAGCCUAACAUACUAUCUGGGAUGAGCUAUCUGGCUCUUCAUGUUUGGUGAUUUUUAUUUUUUUGUAGCCUGUUUCUCCAUGUAGUUCAAGAUCCAAUUAAGCUUUCUUCUUUCUACAGCCUCAGAAUUGCUAGCUGAAAUGCUGAUUAGCUGGAAGAGAGGAAAUACUGCUGAACAGCAAUGUGGAUGUACAGAGGAUUAGGUGGUCGUGUGUCAAUCAUUUUAUUGUCUAAGUAGCAGACAUUUAGACACAUUAUGAUGGCUGUAUUUAGUACUGACUUCUUUCUUAUUCAA